rnacentral:snRNA from 1 species
GGAUGUAAGGACAAUCUGGCUGCGACAUUUGUCACCCCAUUGAUCGCCAGGGUUGAUUCAGCUGAUCUGGCUGGUCAGGCGGGUGUCCUCUUCCUCCCUCACGCUCCAUAUGCGUCCCUCCCGAAGCUGCACCAUUGGUGGAAAAAGACGACUAUCCCCAAUAGAGGAGCACGAUCUUCCGCAAGGGUAUACAGGUAGCUGUGCUCCCCUGCUGAACCUCCAAACAAGCUCUCAAAGACACUAACUGAUUUUCCUGAAGACACACUUCUGGAACAAAAUGUAACUCGAGUACAGAAUUUUAUACCAAACUAAAUUAAACUCCAUCAGGGAAGUAAACUAAAUUU